rnacentral:lncRNA from 1 species
AAUUGAUAUCGCAUACGUUUUUUAUUACGUUUUUUUAUUCUUAAGCUUGCUACUUUUUUUUUUCUUUUCAUUUUCCAAUUUCCAAUGGCACCAAAACACGAUGCAAUUUUUGAAAUCUCACCUGCUAAGGAGAAUUGGAACUUAAUCGUCAGAGUCGUCCUUCUUUGGUAUGUCAAAGAUAUGGCGAAAGGUAAACUGUCAUUCUCACCCUGCGUCAUUCCUUUCAAAGAAUUAUAGAUCAGAAAAUUUGGUCGGUAAGUAUCAAUUAAAUUAUAAAUAUAACUAUACAUUUUAUAUAAUAUUUAUUUAUAUGACAGAAUUUGCUUGUGUGUUUAAGAUGUAAUUGGGAUGUUCUCUAAAGUUGAAUUUGAAGACGACUAUUUCAUUGAGGGUGAAAUGAAAAAAGUUGUGUCAAUGGAAUUAGUCAAUAAUGG